rnacentral:rRNA from 1 species
GAUGAACGCUGACAGAAUGCUUAACACAUGCAAGUCGAUGGGGAAGUGGUGCUUGCACCUUGGCAACCGUGGCGGACGGGUGAGUAACGCGUAAGGGACUUACCUGCAUGACUGGGAUAACAGGGGGAAACUCCUGACAGCACCGGAUAAUGUCAUGGAUCUGCAUGACUUUAUGAUGAAAGGAGACGCCUGCGGAGAGCCUUGCGUCCUAUUAGCUAGUUGGUGAGGUAAUGGCUCACCAAGGCGAAGAUAGGUAGCCGGCCUGAUAGGGUGGACGGCCAAAAGGGGACUGAGAUACGGCACUUACUCCUACGGGAGGCAGCAGGGGAGAAUAUUGGACCAUGGGGGCAAGCCUGAUCAAGCAAUUCUGUGUGCACGAAGAAGGUUUUAGGAUUGUAAAGAGCUUUAAGCAGGGAAGAAGUAAGUGACGGUACCUGCAGAAGAAGCGACGGCUAAAUACGUG